UACGGAGGGGGCUAGCGUUGUUCGGAAUUACUGGGCGUAAAGCGCGCGUAGGCGGACCUGUAAGUCGGGUGUGAAAUCUCGGAGCUUAACUCCGAAACUGCAUUCGAUACUGCCGUGCUUGAGGACUGGAGAGGAGACUGGAAUUUACGGUGUAGCGGUGAAAUGCGUAGAUAUCGUAAGGAAGACCAGUGGCGAAGGCGGGUCUCUGGACAGUUCCUGACGCUGAGGCACGAAGGCCAGGGGAGCAAACGGG
rnacentral:rRNA from 1 species